GACGAACGCUGGCGGCGUGUCUAAUACAUGCAAGUAGAACGCUGAAGGAGGAGCUUGCUCUUCUGGAUGAGUUGCGAACGGGUGAGUAACGCGUAGGUAACCUGCCUGGUAGCGGGGGAUAACUAUUGGAAACGAUAGCUAAUACCGCAUAACAGUAGAUGUUGCAUGACAUUUGCUUAAAAGGUGCAAUUGCACCACUACCAGAUGGACCUGCGUUGUAUUAGCUAGUUGGUGGGGUAACGGCUCACCAAGGCGACGAUACAUAGCCGACCUGAGAGGGUGAUCGGCCACACUGGGACUGAGACACGGCCCAGACUCCUACGGGAGGCAGCAGUAGGGAAUCUUCGGCAAUGGACGGAAGUCUGACCGAGCAACGCCGCGUGAGUGAAGAAGGUUUUCGGAUCGUAAAGCUCUGUUGUAAGAGAAGAACGAGUGUGAGAGUGGAAAGUUCACACUGUGACGGUAUCUUACCAGAAAGGGACGGCUAACUACGUG
rnacentral:rRNA from 1 species